GGAUGAACGCUGGCGGCGUGCCUAACACAUGCAAGUCGAGCGAGAAGGUUUGUGAAGAUUCGUUCGGAUGAAGUCAUAGACUGGACAGCGGCGGACGGGUGAGUAACGCGUGGGUAACCUGCCUUGUACUGGGGGAUAACGUUUGAAAGAACGCUAAUACCGCAUAAGCGCACAGAGUCGCAUGGCUCGGUGUGAAAAACUCCGGUGGUAC
rnacentral:rRNA from 1 species